rnacentral:lncRNA from 1 species
CUGCAAUUUACAGCACAAAGAACAUCAUGGUAUGUUAAACUGUUUAAUUUUUUUUUUUUUGGGAUUAAGAAGAAUAAACAGAAAUACAAAUGAUAUUUAAAAUGAUUAGAUGCAAAAUUCUUUCAAUUCUCAUGCGUGAAAAACUCUGCCUACCAUAGUAAUGCGUGAUAGAAUUGAAAGAGUUCAAGCUGCAUGUCCAAGUGUUCUGUAGGUCAAACCCAUGCUCUGCAGUUGUCAAAGGUACACACACAUAUUGACUGAAACCACUUGUCCUAUGCGGGGUCGCAGCGAGCCAGAGCCUAACCCGGCAGCACAGGACGUAAGGCUGGAGGGGGAGGGGACACACCCAGGACGGGACGCCAGUCCAUUACAAGGCACCCCAAGCUGGACUGAACCUCAGACCCACCAGAGAGCAGGACCCGGUCAAACCCGCUGCACCACCGUGCCCCCCUUGUCAAAGCAUUGUCUCGUUACAUAAGACUUGAGGAGGCCGACCGGUUGUGACAGACGAAUCCAAUGCUGACUGAAGAUGAUGACCAACUGCCAUGAUGGAUGAGACGUACCAUGCUGAUCUGGGGAUUCAAGAUCCCAUAUAGCAACAAUAUCAUUAUUACUUGUUAACUGGCUUAGAAUUGUUAAUUAAUCUAGAAUGUCCAGCCACUGGCCCUUGGACUCCCAGAGGUUUUUUUUCGGCCUCAAUUUUCAGUUGGGAGUUUUUGUUCCUUUCCUCUGUGGCCAGUAGGGAAACUUAUAGCUCUGUAAAAGUAUUAUAUUAUGAUAGUCAGUAGUUAACUGUCUUCUUUGUUUCUUAUCUGAUGUAUUUGUUUUUCUUGCCUUAUGCCGUGUUAAAGCAUUCUGUGUCACUGUGUGAGAAGAGCAUUUUAUAAAAAUGAAUUGAAUUGAAUUGCGUUACAGUUCACAAUACAUUUUGGUGUGUUUAGUGCAUAAUCUAGGGGCAUACAGAACCCUAAAAUAAAUUUCUGUAAAAAAAAAAAAUCA